rnacentral:rRNA from 1 species
UUGAACGCUGGCGGCAUGCCUUACACAUGCAAGUCGCACGGCAGCACGGGGGCAACCCUGGUGGCGAGUGGCGAACGGGUGAGUAAUACAUCGGAACGUGUCCUGUAGUGGGGGAUAGCCCGGCGAAAGCCGGAUUAAUACCGCAUACGCUCUACGGAGGAAAGGGGGGGAUCUUAGGACCUCCCGCUACAGGGGCGGCCGAUGGCAGAUUAGCUAGUUGGUGGGGUAAAGGCCUACCAAGGCGACGAUCUGUAGCUGGUCUGAGAGGACGACCAGCCACACUGGGACUGAGACACGGCCCAGACUCCUACGGGAGGCAGCAGUGGGGAAUUUUGGACAAUGGGGGCAACCCUGAUCCAGCAAUGCCGCGUGUGUGAAGAAGGCCUUCGGGUUGUAAAGCACUUUUGUCCGGAAAGAAAACGCCGUGGUUAAUACCCGUGGCGGAUGACGGUACCGGAAGAAUAAGCACCGGCUAACUACGUG